UAGAGCUGUCAGAGCUCUGUGGGACACGGUCACGCAUACAGCAGCCGGUCCCUUCACAGUUUUUCCGGUAGCAUCGACCGCCUAUCGUCGAUUGUCGUCUUACGAAUCGUGCGGCAUCUUACGCUCGCGCUCGCCAUUGUUUUUCCGAUCAAUCCCGCUGCAUUUGAAAUUAAUUCAGUUCCGCUCGCGUACCCGACUGUACAUUUGACGAAAUUGUUUUUUUUUUGUCGAUAUAUUUCCGAUAUUUCAAGACGUGCUUGGAAAAGAUCAGCCGUUUCAAAAUACUCUAAGUGUCAGAAGUGUGCUGCAACGCUCCGAUAGUUUUCGAAGAGGAGGAGAGGAACCGAGAUAUGGCUUGUCAAUUGGAUCCUACUGGUCUCUACUAAAAAGAAAGACGGUAAUUUAUCCACGAUCGAGCAACAACACACUUCCGCUUUUAGUGUUGUUCAGAGAUCAAUACCGUCGACAUGGCAUUAGAAGGAUUGGACCCCACUGGUCUAUAUUGAAGUGACGAUAAUUACAUCAAUAUAUAAAUAUCAAUAUAUAAUCUGCGUUUCUACUCGUAUUUUCGUAUCUCUGAAGGUGACAUUCGAUUGAUAUUUGAUUAAACUUGUGCAACAACAAUGGCUGGACUCGAUCCGACCGGUCAAUAUUAAGAAGAGGACGAAAAGAAGUCGAGGAAUUUUCCGGAAGAGAGAAAGAAGUUACGCGCACGUGAGAAGAUACUUCAAGGUCGCGAUAUGGCUGCUAUUGGAGGUCUCGAUCCGACCGGACAGUACUGAAACAUCAAAGUCCUCCGCAACUUGGAGGAAGCAGCAACAUCUUUGUAGCUCGAUGGUGUCGAUGAUGGACGAAGUGAGAGGGAGAGAGGAGAUCUCCUCCACCAAUCUUAGGAGACUACGAUGGAGCAUCCAUAUUCGCAAAGGACGACAUCGGAGGUUUUCCAUUAACAUGGAACGCCAAUGAAAAUGCCGAAUCUGCCUAUACAUGGAACCGACCAGCAACAACAUCACUGCCGAUGAGUGGCUUCGUUGUUCCUCGUCGCGAGGACAGCGGGGACAGACUUAUUCUUCGAGAACGAAAGGACCAGGAAACUUUACACUGCCAUGGAACUUCGCCACCUAGUCGCCUCUUCUUUUCCUUCGUCUCUCGCGGAGAUCUACGAUCUUGAGAGCAAAAAGUGCGUACAUAUCAUCACCGGGAGGAAUCGUCGACACUUCGAGACGACACUCUCACGAUUCCGCGAGACGUGCAGUCUCGAUGCCCAGGACAAGACGCUAUUUUUUUCUUUUUUUUGUAUUUAUGUGUACGUUGCGUUGUUACAUCGCGGCGAAUACGGAAAUGCAGCCGAAGUCACACAAAGAGAACAACGCUUCAACGUCUCCGUUGAAAUCGCCGAAAGAAGAAGAACAGUCUUGUCGUUACUGUUGAACGUUUACUUUAUUAUCACUAUUGCCGCCGCUGCUACUAUACUACUACUACUACUACUACUACAGCGGUUACUGUUCCGCCAUCGGUCGAGACAUUUGCGCGCACGAACAUCACGCCAUUACCGUUAUCGCUACACUAUCUCCGUUGUUACGACUAAUAUGGCUAUCUCGUUGCUGCAUUUCUUUUCCGCUGCCUCAAGUGUCGAUAUAUCUGUCGAGCACAAUUGCAUAAAUUGGAGAAUAUAGAGCUGAUUAUUUAUAAAUGCAAGCAUGAUUGUUUCUACUUUUAGCCACGUAGUAUAUUUGUAUUGUAUAAACCGACGAGAAUUAUGCAGGUAAAUUUAGAAGAAACGUUACAUCGCGUGUGUGUGUGUGUGUGUGUGUGUGCGUGUGCGUGUAUGUAUGUGUGCGUAUUGAUCACACAGAUCCGCUAUAAACUGUUUGCGAUGCUAAUUACAUACAUCGCGUUUAAAAACAGAGAAGAGCAUAUUAACUACUUUGACAACAAUAGUAAUUUUCAAAGAAAUAAAACAAAUGUCAAAUUAUAAAUGACGAUUUAAUUUUGAUGUAAUAUUGAUUGCUGCUCAUUACUGGAAUUAUCGAGAAUUUCAAACACGUACUUCGUUUUUGCUCCUUCUCAACGCGCAACACGCGUUACUUUUUUUUUUUUUUUCGUCGAAGAAGACAUCCUCGUAUGAACAAAUCUCUGAUAAUAAAACGGCAUCUGUUGGAUGGGAUGUAUUUGACAAGAUCGAUCCAAAGCUGAAUCAACACAAUUUAGCAUCAUACUAAUUUUAAUAAUUUCGUAUAAAUUGCGAAUAUACAUACAUAACAUAAUUCUCUCACAUUAUAACAUACAUAUAUAUAUAUAUUUUUUUUUUUCAAUAAAAGUCGAAUAGAUUUGCAAUUAAGUUGUCGAAGGGUUACUUCCGAAAAAAAAAAACAUGUACACAACAUUCACACAAGACUCACACGAACACCGGAAAAUCAUUAUCCGAUCGUUCGCGCUCGCGCGAUGCGUGGCGCGACCACGCGCUUCGGAAUCGCGAUCGCGAAGAAAUCGAUCAGGCAUCUUCGCGCGAUCAGGAAGCGAUCGUUGCAUGCGUCGGUCGCGCAUUGUUACACAUAACUUCUUUCUCGGUUCUGUGUGUUGUAAUGCGCGAUCCGCGCGUUUCAAACUACGACGACCGCGUACUUUGCAUUCCUCGCAUACAUCGACUCGCUUGGUGCGCGAGCUCAUUGCGAGCUCGGCUCUCUAGCACACGUACGUAAGUACGCGAGUAACACAUAGAAACAUAUAACAUAUACACACAUACCGAGACAUAAACCGUGCUUCUCGGCAAGCCGGAGCGCGUGUUUUUCAUCCACAUAUAUGUGUACGAGUUACCGUAUUUCUCUUAAUUACCACACGAUCGAGUAGCACGUAGGUAAAUGUUUUCGUUCUGUCUCUAUUCCCCUUUUAUACUCGCUAAUGAUUAUUCUAAUAAUUUUAUUACACUUUUUCUACCACUAUUAUAGUAUUUUUAUUAUAAAAUAAUUGUAUUAUUAUUAUAUCAUACUUUUUAUUCUAUUAUUAUUAUUAAUAAUAUUAUUUUUGUUUUCUUGUUACUCGUUAAGUGUGUUUCGGGACUCUUUCUCUCGCGGCUCUUGAUCGUUAACGCCGAAUUCUGCAGCGUAGGUUCGCGAGUAAGGAAGCGAGAGAGCGAUGUAGGAGGUGGUCGAAGAGAUGGUGUGUCUGUUUUUUUUUUCUUUUGUUUUAGAGAGAGUGAGAGAAGCGAACGCGCGUGCACUGAGAAGAAUGAGAGUGUUUUCUUUUAGUACAAAUCCGUGUGCGAGAGACAAGCGGCACUGAAGGAGAAGCGAAGAAAAAGAGAUAAGAGAUAUAUAUAUAUAUAUAAUAUAUAUAUACACAUACAAUAUAAAUAAAUAUAUUUUUGUACCUUUUAUUUCGAGAAAUAUUAUCGACACUUCGAACAACAACGGAAAACUCUCGCUAGCCGACGGCGAUAUACGUCGUGUGUCCGACAGCGAAAGAACUCAUUGUACACAUCUCUCUUCUCUCUCUUUUUCUCUCUUUCUAUCUUUCUCUCUUCUCGUCAUGAUCCUCGUGACCUUUCUCUAUUGGAACGCAACGAUCCGUACGGCCGAUAUGAGUUCGUUACUUGAGGUCACGUUCGGAAGAGCGCGUCAAUAGUUUCUAUUAUUAAAUCGCCGCCGAUUGUCGCCGUAUAAGUAUAUCUGAACGUCACCCCGACUAAAAUUUGCGGUGUGUUAUAGUCGGAAGUCUCCAAAAACAAAAAAAAAAACAAACAAACAGAAAACAAAACACUGUCCCUUAAAUUAAUUAAUAUUUUCUUUUUUGUUCCCGUGUGAAUCUUAUAGGUAAAAUUGUAACUAUUUGUUUUUUCCUCUUUUUUAUACGAUAAAAAUACUAAGUGCGAGAGAAACGAAAAAUAAAGAGUAUGAAACGCCUUUUAAG